UACGGAUGAUGCAAGCGUUAUCCGGAUUUAUUGGGUUUAAAGGGUGCGCAGGUUGUUUGAUAAGUCAGUGGUGAAAGUCUGUCGCUUAACGGUAGGAUUGCCAUUGAUACUGUUGGACUUGAAUAUGGAUGAGGUAGGCGGAAUGUGUAGUGUAGCGGUGAAAUGCAUAGAUAUUACACAGAACACCGAUUGCGAAGGCAGCUUACUAAUCCAUCAUUGACGCUGAGGCACGAAAGCGUGGGGAUCAAA
rnacentral:rRNA from 1 species